CCAACCCGCUGCCCAGCUAACCAACCCAGCAGUCAUCCAGCUACAUCUUCACCUCUCCAACCACCCACCCAACAACCCAACCAACCACCCAACAAACCAACCAACAACCCAACCACCCAACAUACAACUAACCAACCACUCAACAAGCCAACCAACCACCCAUCCAACAACCCAACCAACCAACCACCCAACCAGUCACCCACCCAACAACCCACCCAACCACCCAACAACCCACCCAACAACNNNNNNNNNNNNNNNNNNNNNNNNNNNCCAGCAGUCAUCCAGCUACAUCUUCACCUCUCCAACCACCCACCCAACAACCCAACCAACCACCCAACAACCCACCCAACAACCCAAAAAAACACACAACAACCCAACCAACCACCCACCCAACCAACCACCCAACCAACAAUCCACCCAACUACCCACCCAAUCAACCACUCAACAACCCAACCACCCACCCAAACAACCACCCAACAACUCAACCAACCACCCAACCAACCACCCACCCACCCAACAACCCACCCAACCAACCACCCAACAACCCACCCAACCACCCAACCAACAGGCCAACCACCCAAACACCCACCCACCCAACCACCCAUCCACCCAACAACCCAACCAACCACCCACCCACUCAACCAACCACCCAACAAACAACCCAACCAACCACCUACCCACCCAACAACCCAACCAAUCACCCAACAACUCAACCAACCACCCAACAACCCACCCAACCAACAACCCAACCACCCAACCAACCAACCACCCAACAGCCCAACCACCCGCCCAACAACCAACCCAACCACCCAACCAACCAACCACCCAACUAACAACCCAACCAACCACCCAAUAACCCACCCAACCAACAACCCAACCACCCAACCAACCAACCACCCAACAGCCCAACCACCCGCCCAACAACCCAACCAACCACCCACCCAACCAACCACCCAACCAACCACUCAACAACCCAACCAACCACCCACCCAAACACUCACCCACCCAAACACCCACCCAACUAACAACCCAACCACCCACCCACCCCACCAACCACACUACAACCCAACCAACCACCCACCCAACCAACCACUCAACAACCCAACCAACCACCCACCCACUCAACCAACCNNNNNNNNNNNNNNCCACUCAACCAACCACCCAACAAACAACCCAACCACCCACCCACCCAACCAACCACCCACCCAACCACUCAACAACCCAACCAACCACCCACCCAACCACCCACCCAACAACCCACCCAACCAACCACCCAACAACCCAACCAAC
rnacentral:lncRNA from 1 species